CAAGGGAAAUAAGUGGUGUUAUGAGUGAGAAGGGAGCUGUCUAUGAGCCAGCCUAGCAGUGGGAGGCCUCCAUCCUGCAGGUUAACCCUGGGCCAUAACCUCCCCCCUGUGGGACAAGGACUUCUGCUCAGCUGAACCAGGGCAAUCUACAACGGAUGGGAAGCUACAAGUCCAGCACUACCCAGUCUGACAAAGCACAGCCUGGUGUUUUCAAACAACCCCCAAGUCACUGCUCCCAAAACUAUGGCAUAAGGGCUUCUGAAGCCCUGGGCCAACCCCAGUUGCAAGGUGCAGAGGGGGAUCUCCAUGAAAGCUCUGCCAACAGCAGCCCUCGGCAGGUGAAUGCUGCCAGGACAAAGCAAAACAAGCAGCAUACGCUACCCCUCUCCCCCGCGAGCCUUUCCUUCCCCAAAGGGGGAGGACGCUGGAUGCUGGAGGUGUGUCUGCCGCUCCUUGGACUCAGGUGGAUCCCAAUCAACAUCCUUGUGCACCUGGCACCAGAAGGAACCAGGAAGUGGAGGCCAGGGGAGUGCAGCUUGCUGCAGAGGAGAUCGGCUGGAAGAAGUGCUCUGGAAGAAGCGCUCGGAGUGGUCCCAAGAUCAGACCGCAGGGGAAACUCGGAAAGGAACCAAAAAUGGGAUCUGAAGGGCAAAACUUGGGAGAGGAGUUCAACGACCAGAUCAAUGACGUCCUGAGCAGACUGGCAACCAAACAGAUGUUCCAGUCAGACUGGGACAUUGCUGCCUUCGCCAUCUUCUUCAUCUUCAUUGGUACCGUGCUGUUGAUGGUUCUCCUGGCUCUGAUCCAUUGUUGCUGCUGCUGCUGCUGUGACACCCGGGGAUCACACAAAAAGGUCCCCAGAAAGAAAGUGGGCAUUGAUAACAAGGCCAUGGAGCCAUAACCCCGCCUCCUCCCUUGGACAGACUGAUUCUGGAGCCAACGGGCAAAAGACUCUUCUUUGCUUGCUUCUUUCUGCUACACAGCAAUCAACUGCAGAUCAAACUCUUUGUGUUAAUUUUGAGUGCUGGCCUGGUGGGGCCCUGGCCUCACACAGCUGUGCUUCACUGGCUCCAGCACUUGUUCAUCCUUCUCUGUGCACAAAGGAUGAAGAUUAAAAGGAACUCGUAUGAUGCUGAAUAAGAAUAGCAUCUACAGCCAUCUCACAUUGUACAAUUAGACCCACUAGUCCUCAAACUACGGGGCAGAAGUUGCUCAUCAGCCUAGGGUCAGCAGAGGAAGUCUGCCCCCUUGUGGUAGAGUACUGUACAUAACAGGGAGUUUACACCUUCCAAGGCCACUACUGGCAUCAGGGAUUGCAACUAGAUGGGCCAUUGGGCCGGUCCUGAAAGGCAACUCCUGUGUGUGUAUAGUCACCAAUUAAAACAGUGUCCCCAGGGACUCUUCCAGGUCCCUGAAAACAUCCCUUGCUUUGUCCCUCGCUGGCAGCUGUCAUCUGACACUUCCAGAGUCUGGAAAGGAACAUGCCCUAGAUCAGAACUGACCACAGGGGAAGGAACAGCUCCCCUGAAAGCCCAUCCUGGCUUAGCUGAAGACAGCGGAGGCAUAGGUCUUGGCAGCACUUUCCUAUAGAGCCCCCAUUGACACAGGCUCUUGAGUCCUUUUGGCAGCAGCCAAGGAGUUAAAUUGCUACCUGCACAGUCCCUGAUAGCCAAGAGAACUGCCCAUAUGACCAGUUGAAGGAGAACAGGCUCAGGGGAGGAAGCAUGUCUUGUGCACUGACAUGCUGCUGUCUCCACUCAUCCAGCAGAAGGAAGACGGAGCUCUGCAGAAUACCACCGAGCUAGGGUAGUGCUGGUGCAGUCCUGAUGCUCAAGAGACCCAGCUCGCUGUGUCUGUAAUGGCAAGGCCAGUCCCCAGCCAAGGGCACUGGGCUCUAGUUCAGGGAGCUCAGGAAAGCCCAGAGUCAUUUCUUUUCUGCAUAGAUGGUUUUACACUGUGGAUGUAGUGCAUGGUCAGUGGCCUUCUGCUGAGUCCUACGGAGCCAGCAAGCACAUCCCAUUAGCCAGUGACCCUGUCCAGCUCCCUGAGACACUGCCACAAACACUGCUUUGUUCAGCAGGUAGGGGAGGGGUUAGAACUCACCACCGUCUCCCUCUGGGAAGGCGUAUUGCAGGGCCAGGUUAAGUUAGCCUAUCCACUGUCUGAGACACUGACUCCCUGCAGCAGGACAAGCCAAAUAAGAGAGUAACUUGGUCAGUGGCUUGGAAGCCAUGGAAAGUGAGGGGGCCUGAGCACUCCAGCUCCAAACAAAGGGCCUGUCAGUGCCUGGCCUCUGCCACCCCCACCCUUCUCUGGUACUCAGGAACAUCCUGAGCAUGGCAUUCAGGAACAGACUCACUUAGCCACCGGACUAAGUUUAGACAGGAGCUUACCUGGCACUGCGAAGGGAAGCCAGAGUCACAGAGACAACUGUGCUCUGGGCAGGAGAGCUGCUUCUGACUCCUCCAUGAAGCCCUCUAAAUAAGCAGUGUUCAGACAGCACAUGGGACUUCAAAUGGAUCUGUGCUUCUAUUCAGUUUGCACAUUCUCCAUCACAGUACAGUCUUUACGUACGCCCCACUGGCCUGUGAACACCCCUGGAGAGCCUUAUUCCAUAUGGCAUAAUCUCUGCAUUGCAGUGGUAUUGCACUCUGCCUAGGGAGUGUGUCUAAAAGCGAAGGCCCACAAGGUACACGGCUUCAUCUUCCCCAGCCCCUUUCACACUCGCUUUGGCUCAGAGGUGAGUGACAUACAUAGAAGAAAAGGCUUCUUCACCCUGUGGGCUUGAUCCUGUGCUCAGUAAGACCACUGACUUCAGUGGCAGCUGGAGCAGACCCGCUUUCUGCCCAGCAGUUUGCUCUCAAACCCAGCUAGCAGCAGGGCAUGCUGAAAAUACAGGAGUCCCUUUGGUUGGAACAUUUAUCAAUUUCAACAGCACUUCUGGCUGAGCAGAGCCACUGACUAGUGCCUUACAACCCUGUGCUUUUUAUGCUAAUUAGAGUCAAGCACAGGGAGUGUCACAUCCUUCCUGCUGGUCAGCUGCUCCAGUGCUUGUGAAUGCCUUCUCCCGCCCAGCUCUGUUUAUCCACUGACUAGUGGCUCAUAGGGAACCCAAAAGGAAGGUGUUACGGUCAGUUCAAUUAACAUUCCAAACAAUGUCCUUUGGGGUUUCCCACUGACUUGUAUGUUCAUAAAACUUUCUAAUUUCGUCUCUGAAUCCAGGAAGACUCAUGAUUAUAAAUAAAAAGCACAUGAUGGA